rnacentral:rRNA from 1 species
AACGAACGCUGGCGGCAGGCUUAACACAUGCAAGUCGAACGCCCCGCAAGGGGAGUGGCGCACGGGUGAGUAACGCGUGGGAAUAUGCCCUUCGGUUCGGAAUAACACAGGGAAACUUGUGCUAAUACCGGAUACGAUCUACGGAUGAAAGAUUUAUCGCCGAGGGAGUAGCCCGCGUAGGAUUAGCUAGUUGGUGAGGUAAUGGCUCACCAAGGCGACGAUCCUUAGCUGGUCUGAGAGGAUGAUCAGCCACACUGGGACUGAGACACGGCCCAGACUCCUACGGGAGGCAGCAGUGGGGAAUAUUGGACAAUGGGGGAAACCCUGAUCCAGCCAUGCCGCGUGAGUGAUGAAGGCCUUAGGGUUGUAAAGCUCUUUCGUCGGGGAAGAUAAUGACGGUACCCGAAGAAGAAGCCUCGGCUAACUCCGUGCCAGCCGCCGCCGUAA